rnacentral:lncRNA from 1 species
CGACGUGUCCGGCGCGUGCCCACACACGAGCCAGAGCGCCAGAUUCAUCGGCGCGGUUUAUUGCCUAGCAUUCACCCCCGAAACCGUGUCCUAGAGAAGACUGGGUUCGUCGUCGUCGAUCUCCCCCAGCAGGGCUUGCUCCGGCGUCGGUGGUUUCCCCUCCUCGGACACUCCCUCUUGAAGUGACCGCGUUCGUUGUAGUGGUAG